GGUUAAGCGACUAAGCGUACACGGUGGAUGCCCUGGCAGUCAGAGGCGAUGAAGGACGUGCUAAUCUGCGAAAAGCGUCGGUAAGGUGAUAUGAACCGUUAUAACCGGCGAUGUCCGAAUGGGGAAACCCAGUGUGAUUCGUCACACUAUCGUUAACUGAAUACAUAGGUUAACGAGGCGAACCGGGGGAACUGAAACAUCUAAGUACCCCGAGGAAAAGAAAUCAACCGAGAUUCCCCCAGUAGCGGCGAGCGAACGGGGAGCAGCCCAGAGUCUGAAUCAGCUUGUGUGUUAGUGGAACGGUCUGGAAAGUCCGACGGUACAGGGUGAUAGUCCCGUACACCAAAAUGCACAGGUUGUGAACUCGAAGAGUAGGGCGGGACACGUGGUAUCCUGUCUGAAUAUGGGGGGACCAUCCUCCAAGGCUAAAUACUCCUGACUGACCGAUAGUGAACCAGUACCGUGAGGGAAAGGCGAAAAGAACCCCGGCGAGGGGAGUGAAAAAGAACCUGAAACCGUGUACCGUGUACGUACAAGCAGUGGGAGCACCUUCGGGUGUGACUGCGUACCUUUUGUAUAAUGGGUCAGCGACUUAUAUUCUGUAGCAAGGUUAACCGUAUAGGGGAGCCGCAGGGAAACCGAGUCUUAACUGGGCGUUAAGUUGCAGGGUAUAGACCCGAAACCCGGUGAUCUAGCCAUGGGCAGGUUGAAGGUUGGGUAACACUAACUGGAGGACCGAACCGACUAAUGUUGAAAAAUUAGCGGAUGACUUGUGGCUGGGGGUGAAAGGCCAAUCAAACCGGGAGAUAGCUGGUUCUCCCCGAAAGCUAUUUAGGUAGCGCCUCGUGAACUCAUCUUCGGGGGUAGAGCACUGUUUCGGCUAGGGGGUCAUCCCGACUUACCAACCCGAUGCAAACUACGAAUACCGAAGAAUGUUAUCACGGGAGACACACGGCGGGUGCUAACGUCCGUCGUGAAGAGGGAAACAACCCAGACCGCCAGCUAAGGUCCCAAAGUCAUGGUUAAGUGGGAAAAACGAUGUGGGAAGGCACAGACAGCCAGGAUGUUGGCUUAGAAGCAGCCAUCAUUUAAAGAAAGCGUAAUAGCUCACUGGUCGAGUCGGCCUGCGCGGAAGAUGUAACGGGGCUAAACCAUGCACCGAAGCUGCGGCAGCGACACUAUGUGUUGUUGGGUAGGGGAGCGUUCUGUAAGCCUGCGAAGGUGACCUGUGAGGGUUGCUGGAGGUAUCAGAAGUGCGAAUGCUGACAUAAGUAACGAUAAAGCGGGUGAAAAGCCCGCUCGCCGGAAGACCAAGGGUUCCUGUCCAACGUUAAUCGGGGCAGGGUGAGUCGACCCCUAAGGCGAGGCCGAAAGGCGUAGUCGAUGGGAAACAGGUUAAUAUUCCUGUACUUGGUGUUACUGCGAAGGGGGGACGGAGAAGGCUAUGUUAGCCGGGCGACGGUUGUCCCGGUUUAAGCAUGUAGGCUGGUUAUCCAGGCAAAUCCGGAUAAUCAAGGCUGAGGUGUGAUGACGAGGCACUACGGUGCUGAAGUAACAAAUGCCCUGCUUCCAGGAAAAGCCUCUAAGCAUCAGGUAACAUCAAAUCGUACCCCAAACCGACACAGGUGGUCAGGUAGAGAAUACCAAGGCGCUUGAGAGAACUCGGGUGAAGGAACUAGGCAAAAUGGUGCCGUAACUUCGGGAGAAGGCACGCUGGUGUGUAGGUGAAGCCCCUGCGGGUGGAGCUGAGACCAGUCGAAGAUACCAGCUGGCUGCAACUGUUUAUUAAAAACACAGCACUGUGCAAACACGAAAGUGGACGUAUACGGUGUGACGCCUGCCCGGUGCCGGAAGGUUAAUUGAUGGGGUUAUCCGUAAGGAGAAGCUCUUGAUCGAAGCCCCGGUAAACGGCGGCCGUAACUAUAACGGUCCUAAGGUAGCGAAAUUCCUUGUCGGGUAAGUUCCGACCUGCACGAAUGGCGUAAUGAUGGCCAGGCUGUCUCCACCCGAGACUCAGUGAAAUUGAACUCGCUGUGAAGAUGCAGUGUACCCGCGGCAAGACGGAAAGACCCCGUGAACCUUUACUAUAGCUUGACACUGAACAUUGAGCCUUGAUGUGUAGGAUAGGUGGGAGGCUUUGAAGCGUGGACGCCAGUCUGCGUGGAGCCAACCUUGAAAUACCACCCUUUAAUGUUUGAUGUUCUAACGUUGGCCCCUGACCGGGGUUGCGGACAGUGUCUGGUGGGUAGUUUGACUGGGGCGGUCUCCUCCCAAAGCGUAACGGAGGAGCACGAAGGUUAGCUAAUCCUGGUCGGACAUCAGGAGGUUAGUGCAAUGGCAUAAGCUAGCUUGACUGCGAGCGUGACGGCGCGAGCAGGUGCGAAAGCAGGUCAUAGUGAUCCGGUGGUUCUGAAUGGAAGGGCCAUCGCUCAACGGAUAAAAGGUACUCCGGGGAUAACAGGCUGAUACCGCCCAAGAGUUCAUAUCGACGGCGGUGUUUGGCACCUCGAUGUCGGCUCAUCACAUCCUGGGGCUGAAGUAGGUCCCAAGGGUAUGGCUGUUCGCCAUUUAAAGUGGUACGCGAGCUGGGUUUAGAACGUCGUGAGACAGUUCGGUCCCUAUCUGCCGUGGGCGCUGGAGAAUUGAGGGGGGCUGCUCCUAGUACGAGAGGACCGGAGUGGACGCAUCACUGGUGUUCGGGUUGUCAUGCCAAUGGCACUGCCCGGUAGCUAAAUGCGGAAGAGAUAAGUGCUGAAAGCAUCUAAGCACGAAACUUGCCCCGAGAUGAGUUCUCCCUGAGACUUUAAGUCUCCUGAAGGAACGUUAAAGACGAUGACGUUGAUAGGCCGGGUGUGUAAGCGCAGCGAUGCGUUGAGCUAACCGGUACUAAUGAACCGUGAGGCUUAACCUU
rnacentral:rRNA from 1 species